rnacentral:lncRNA from 1 species
GCCGAGGGGCUACCGUUCUGCCUCCGACCGGUCGUGUGUGGGUUUACUCGGAGGUGCUUUGCCUCUGAAGAAAAGAGAAAUACUAGGCUUUAGAAUUUCACCAUAUGAAUUUUGGGAGAGAGGAGCACAGUUCAGCCCAUAACUAACACACGUGAUGAAGAAGACAUGCCAACAGAGGGUUAAUUCCAGAUAAAAUGAAAUGUUCCAAACAACGGAAUGAAGUUGAUAAUAGUGAGACCUUGUUGGUACAAGACUAUGUAACAUAACCUGCGCUUCUCAACAAAGAAUUGCUUUUCUGACUUCUGCACUCAAUAGCAAGACAAAUCUCUCCUCUGCCUUCUCCUUAUCAGACUACUCAACAUGAAGGCAAUAAGAAUGAAGACCUCUAUGUAUAAUAAUUGACUUCCACUUAAUAAAUACCUGAACAGAUGUUGAGUACAAGCUGAUCCACCUACGUUCAACCUGAGAGAGUCCACAUCCACAGACUGUUUCAUUUCCCUUUUUCAAUUUACAUAGAAGCAUAGAUUCUUGCUGGCAUAUACAAAUGCGCCAUUUAAGGCAAUCAAAAAUGGUUCCACAUCUCAUCUGAUUUCCACAAUUGUUGCUGUAACGAUGGACUACUGAGGAGAGAGACAAUUUCUCUGGCACAUCUUCCCACAUUUUAGCAACAUGUUCAUGGAGAGCCAAUAUUCAGUAAUUACAGCCCAAUUCCUCACAAUUUCACAAUUCGCUAACAAUAUGCAUUUUCACAAUGUAAAGCUGAUUUUCCUUUAACCAAAUCAAACAUGAAAAGAUAGCUGCAUGCAAUGGGCAAUCUAGAUCAUUAGAAGAUUGAUGUAAAAUUAGAGGACACUGAGACUGGAAUAGAUUGCAAACUUCAGGGAGCUCAGAAAACUUGUAAACUCUACAUUUUGAGGAAAUAUGUUGUCGAUGCUUUUGCAACUCUAUGCAGUAACUUAACAAAUAAAGCCUUAAAGUAACUUA